rnacentral:rRNA from 1 species
AGCGCAGGCGGGAAGACAAGUUGGAAGUGAAAACCAUGGGCUCAACCCAUGAAUUGCUUUCAAAACUGUUUUUCUUGAGUAGUGCAGAGGUAGAUGGAAUUCCCGGUGUAGCGGUGGAAUGCGUAGAUAUCGGGAGGAACACCAGCGGCGAAGGCGGUCUACUGGGCACCAACUGACGCUGAGGCUCGAAAGCAUGGGUAGCAAACA